rnacentral:rRNA from 1 species
GUCUUAUUGAAUAUAAUUUUAAGUCUAAUCUGCCCAAUGAUUAUUUAAAUGGCUGCAGUAUUUUGACUGUACAAAGGUAGCAUAGUAAUUAGUUUCUUAAUUAGGAACUGGAAUGAAUGAUUGAACGAGAUAAUACCUGUCUUAUUAUGAAUUAUAGAAUUUUAUUUUUAAGUUAAAAAGCUUAAAUUUAUUUAAAAGACGAGAAGACCCUAUAGAAUUUUAUAUUAUUAAUAUAUUUAAAUAUUGGUGAGAAAAUUUUAAAUUUUAUUAUAUAUAUUUAGUUGGGGUGACUGGGAAAUUAAAGAAACUUUUCUUGAUUAAUAACAUUUAUUUAUGCUUUUAUGAUCCAAUUUUUUUGAUUAUAAGAUUAAAUUACCUUAGGGAUAACAGCGUAAUUUUUUUGGAGAGUUCUUAUCGAUAAAAGAGAUUGCGACCUCGAUGUUGGAUUAAAGUUAAUUUUUAAUGAAGAAGUUAAAAUAUUAGGUCUGUUCGACCUUUAAAACUUUACAUGAUCUGAGUUUAAACCGGCGUGAGCCAGGUUGGAUUCUAUCUUUAAAUAAUUUAUAUAUUUUAGUACGAAAGGACCAAAUAUAUAUUAUAGUAAUUUUAAUUGAAUAAUA